GUCCCGCCUAACCUCUUCCUGCGAUGAGCUCGGCACGGGAAUUAUUAUUGUCAAUUUUACUUGCAAGAAGUUUCCUACAAGAGCCAAGGAAUCCAUGCGAGUAAACAUUUACGGGCACCAUAGAUAAAAGGCUUGUGUUUUAAUCCUCAUCCUCUCCACCUGUUAGCUCUGAGUCUCAGUUUUCUCAUCUCUAAAAAUGGGGAUAUUCACAGGAGUUGCUGCAUCGAGUUGUGAGGAUUAAAAGUUGGAUGUAACGGCUUGGUAAUUAUGAGCUCUUCUAGUGUCCCUUCCUCUUCCCUGUGCCCAAGGGGUUUUAGGAAAGCAUUUUAUCUCCACAGCAAUCCUAUGAGGUUGAUACUACUAUCCUCAUAGAAGGGGAAACUGAUGCCAGGAGAGGUUCAAGCGUCUUACCUGAAGUCACAAAGCAAACUGAGUGAUGAAGGAAGACUUGAACCUAGAAAAUUUCACUGCAAAGGCUGGAAUGCAAUGGUGCAAUCUCAGCUCACUGCAACCUCUGCCUCCCGGGUUCGCUCGAUUUUCCUGCCUCAGCCUCCCGAGUAGCUGGGAUU
rnacentral:lncRNA from 10 species